rnacentral:lncRNA from 1 species
UGACAGAGGAAGCAAAAUGAAAGAUUGAUUUGCAUGGCUACUAAAGAGUCAUUAGUUUUGUUUAACAUUCAGAUUCCACAAUAAUUGGGGUUAAACUAUGCGAGAAAAAGGCAUAUUCUCCUAAAAAGGCAUAUUCCUCGAAUUUCAGAUGUGGCGGCGCUAGCCACGGGUUUAUUACAGCUCGCAAAAAAAGAGUCAUAUCCAAGUAAGCCCUCACGACACGUCUCCAUUGCGUGCCAAUAUAGAUAGACUUGGAACGUAAAAUUUUAUGUGUAGGGUCUUGAGAGAAACAAAGACUAAGUUGGACUCAUGUGAAACUAUUUUGUAAUGUACAGGAACCAGAUUACA